UACGAAGGGGGCUAGCGUUGCUCGGAAUCACUGGGCGUAAAGCGCACGUAGGCGGAUUGCUAAGUCAGGGGUGAAAUCCUGGAGCUCAACUCCAGAACUGCCUUUGAUACUGGCGAUCUCGAGUUCGGGAGAGGUGAGUGGAACUGCGAGUGUAGAGGUGAAAUUCGUAGAUAUUCGCAAGAACACCAGUGGCGAAGGCGGCUCACUGGCCCGAUACUGACGCUGAGUGAGCGAAAGCCAGGGGAGCAAACGGG
rnacentral:rRNA from 1 species